rnacentral:lncRNA from 1 species
CUUCAGCUUAGCAGGAGGUGCCUGUAGGCGGAGGGACUGGGAGCUCAGGGAUGGAACCUGCAAGUCGUGGGUGGGAAGUUAUUCUGGGACUCAGGUUUUCCCUUUGUAGACUGCACAUGAGACUGUAACAAGGGUGCACAUGGCAAGAGUGGGUGGAGGUUGCACCUAGGGCAUGUCGCCAGGCGGAGAGGGCUAAGUGAAGAAGUUGAUCCUCUUUCAGAGCCCUGGGUAAGGCGCAGUCACAAGAAGUCCAUCCACGAUUUGGUCUGAAACCCCAAGCAUCAAAAGGUCAUCUGAGGGCCAGGGAGAUGGCUCUGUGGAUGUGUCAGUCUGAUGACCUGAUUCACACUCUGGGACCCACAGAAUGGAAGGAGAGAACCAAUUCCCAUGAGUCUUCCCUAUCCCCCAUAUGUUAUGGUCUGCACGUUCACACAGUCACAAAUAAUAAAAAGAAUGGUAUUCUUAUCUCUUUAUACUGAAGAAGUUAAACUGUGGCCUGGUCCUGGAAC